rnacentral:rRNA from 1 species
GACGAACGCUGGCGGCGCGCUUAACACAUGCAAGUCGAGCGGUAAGGCCUUCUGUGGUACAUGGGCUGCGAACGGGCGAGUAACACACGGGUGAUCUGCCCGUCACUUCUCGAUAAGCCUGGUAGGCAGAGUCUAAUACAGCAGAUGCUCUCUUACCGCAUGAUGGGUGGGGGAUGGCUUUGUUGGUGCAGGAUGUGCUCGCGGCCUAUCAGCAUGUUGGUGGGGUGCUGGCCUAUCAAGGCGUCGUCGGGUAGCCGACCUGAGAGGGUGACCGGCCACACUGGGACUGAGACACGGCCCAGACUCCGACGGGGAGCAGCAGUGAGGGAUAUGACACAAUGGGCGGAAGCCUGAUGCAGCGACGCCGCGUUUGGGAUUAUGGCCUUCUGGUGGUAAACCUCUUGCAGCAGGGAUGAAGGGCUAGUGACGGUAGCUGCAGAAGAAGCACCGGCUAACUACGUG